rnacentral:rRNA from 1 species
CCUACGGGAGGCUGCAGUGAGGAAUAUUGGUCAAUGGGCGGAAGCCUGAACCAGCCAAGUAGCGUGCAGGAUGACGGCCCUAUGGGUUGUAAACUUCUUUUAUAUGGGAAUAAAAUGUUCCACGUGUGGGAUUUUGUAUGUACCAUAUGAAUAAGGAUCGGCUAACUCCGUGCCAGCAGCCGCGGUAAUACGGAGGAUCCGAGCGUUAUCCGGAUUUAUUGGGUUUAAAGGGAGCGUAGGUGGAUUGUUAAGUCAGUUGUGAAAGUUUGCGGCUCAACCGUAAAAUUGCAGUUGAAACUGGCAGUCUUGAGUACAGUAGAGGUGGGCGGAAUUCGUGGUGUAGCGGUGAAAUGCUUAGAUAUCACGAAGAACUCCGAUGGCGAAGGCAGCUCACUGGACUGCAACUGACACUGAGGCUCGAAAGUGUGGGUAUCAAACAGGAUUAGAUACCCUAGUAGUC